rnacentral:rRNA from 1 species
CCUACGGGGGGCUGCAGUGGGGAAUAUUGGGCAAUGGGCGCAAGCCUGACCCAGCAACGCCGCGUGAAGGAAGAAGGCUUUCGGGUUGUAAACUUCUUUUGACAGGGAAGAGCAGAAGACGGUACCUGUCGAAUAAGCCACGGCUAACUACGUGCCAGCAGCCGCGGUAAUACGUAGGUGGCAAGCGUUGUCCGGAUUUACUGGGUGUAAAGGGCGUGUAGCCGGGCUGACAAGUCAGAUGUGAAAUCCGGGGGCUCAACCCUCGAACUGCAGUUGAAACUGUUGGUCUUGAGUAUCGGAGAGGCAGGCGGAAUGCCUGGUGUAGCGGUGAAAUGCGUAGAUAUUAGGAGGAACACCAGUGGCGAAGGCAGCCUGCUGGACGACAACUGACGGUGAGGCGCGAAAGCGUGGGGAGCAAACAGGAUUAGAUACCCGAGUAGUC